GAUGAACGCUGGCGGCGUGCCUAAUACAUGCAAGUCGAGCGAACGGACGAGAAGCUUGCUUCUCUGAUGUUAGCGGCGGACGGGUGAGUAACACGUGGAUAACCUACCUAUAAGACUGGGAUAACUUCGGGAAACCGUAGCUAAUACCGGAUAAUAUUUUGAACCGCAUGGUUCAAAAGUGAAAGACGGUCUUGCUGUCACUUAUAGAUGGAUCCGCGCUGCAUUAGCUAGUUGGUAAGGUAACGGCUUACCAAGGCAACGAUGCAUAGCCGACCUGAGAGGGUGAUCGGCCACACUGGAACUGAGACACGGUCCAGACUCCUACGGGAGGCAGCAGUAGGGAAUCGUCCGCAAUGGGCGAAAGCCUGACGGAGCAACGCCGCGUGAGUGAUGAAGGUCUUCGGAUCGUAAAACUCUGUUAUUAGGGAAGAACAUAUGUGUAAGUAACUGUGCACAUCUUGACGGUACCUAAUCAGAAAGCCACGGCUAACUACGUG
rnacentral:rRNA from 1 species